GACGUAGGAUGCGAGCGUUGUUCGGAUUUAUUGGGCGUAAAGCGUACGUAGGCGGCUUGUUAAGUCUGGUGUUAAAGCUAGGGGCUCAACCCCUGUGUUGCACUGGAAACUGGCAGGCUUGAGUGUGGUAGGGGAAGGUGGAAUUCCGAGUGUAGCGGUGAAAUGCGUAGAUAUUCGGAAGAACACCGGUGGCGAAAGCGACCUUCUGGGCCAUUACUGACGCUGAGGUACGAAAGCUUGGGGAGCGAACGGG
rnacentral:rRNA from 1 species